rnacentral:tRNA from 1 species
GCGGGGGUUGCCAAGCCCGGUCAACGGCGCAGGUCUCUUUUUCUUUUACAGCAAAAGAGAAGAAGAGUGCGAAGCUUAGAAUGAGCCGGACUGGUUCCUACAACCCUGUUCCUUAGGGAUUCGUGGGUUCAAAUCCCACCCCCCGCA